rnacentral:rRNA from 1 species
GAUGAACGCUGGCGGCGUGCCUAAUACAUGCAAGUCGAGCGAACGGACGAGAAGCUUGCUUCUCUGAUGUUAGCGGCGGACGGGUGAGUAACACGUGGAUAACCUACCUAUAAGACUGGGAUAACUUCGGGAAACCGUAGCUAAUACCGGAUAAUAUUUUGAACCGCAUGGUUCAAAAGUGAAAGACGGUCUUGCUGUCACUUAUAGAUGGAUCCGCGCUGCAUUAGCUAGUUGGUAAGGUAACGGCUUACCAAGGCAACGAUGCAUAGCCGACCUGAGAGGGUGAUCGGCCAGCCUGGAACUGAGACACGGUCCCGACUCCUACGGGAGGCAGCAGUAGGGACUCUUCCGCAAUGGGCGAAAGCCUGACGGAGCAACGCCGCGUGAGUGAUGAAGGUCUUCGGAUCGUAAAACUCUGUUAUUCGGGAAGAACAUAUGUGUAAGUAACUGUGCACAUCUUGACGGUACCUAAUCAGAAAGCCACGGCUAACUCCGUG